rnacentral:rRNA from 2 species
GAAGUUAGCGGCGGACGGGUGAGUAACACGUGGGUAACCUGCCCAUAAGACUGGGAUAACUCCGGGAAACCGGGGCUAAUACCGGAUAACAUUUUGAACCGCAUGGUUCGAAAUUGAAAGGCGGCUUCGGCUGUCACUUAUGGAUGGACCCGCGUCGCAUUAGCUAGUUGGUGAGGUAACGGCUCACCAAGGCAACGAUGCGUAGCCGACCUGAGAGGGUGAUCGGCCACACUGGGACUGAGACACGGCCCAGACUCCUACGGGAGGCAGCAGUAGGGAAUCUUCCGCAAUGGACGAAAGUCUGACGGAGCAACGCCGCGUGAGUGAUGAAGGCUUUCGGGUCGUAAAACUCUGUUGUUAGGGAAGAACAAGUGCUAGUUGAAUAAGCUGGCACCUUGACGGGACCUAACCAGAAAGCCACGGCUAACUACGUGCCAGCAGCCGCGGUAAUACGUAGGUGGCAAGCGUUAUCCGGAAUUAUUGGGCGUAAAGCGCGCGCAGGUGGUUUCUUAAGUCUGAUGUGAAAGCCCACGGCUCAACCGUGGAGGGUCAUUGGAAACUGGGAGACUUGAGUGCAGAAGAGGAAAGUGGAAUUCCAUGUGUAGCGGUGAAAUGCGUAGAGAUAUGGAGGAACACCAGUGGCGAAGGCGACUUUCUGGUCUGUAACUGACA